rnacentral:tRNA from 1 species
GGUCCCGUAGCUCAAUGGAUAGAGCAACAGCCUUCUAAGCUGUCGGCUGCAGGUUCGACCCCUGCCGGGAUCA